AUAUACGAACUUCAGAAGAGAGAGACAGAGAGAUUCCACAAACUAACCAACACCCACCACUAAUUAAUGCCUAAAGUCAAAAUCAGCAAAGAAUCGGACCAUUUUAGGCUGCCAUUCUGAUCCCUUGUACCCUUCACUUAUGGCAUCCUUUCAUCAGAGUAAGUACUUGAGAAAGAAAAACAAGCUCCCAAAAUUUCAGCGAAUAUAUGUCUACUCAUCCAUUCAUUACAAUUUACCAAUUUUCCUCCCCUGUUCUUCUUAUGCUCCAAACAGGGCCUUGCCAAGUCCUGGAAUCUCUGAUGUCACAUGAAUGCAUUAAUGGGUCAAUCAUUAUAUGGCUAUUCUUUUUCAAUCUGUUGCAAUUCAAACCCUCCAUAAGGAAUGGUCAAUAAAUUCUUUUCCUCUUUGAUCUAAACCCCUUUUACACAUUACUCUCCAAUUUCAUCUCUGCAAAACCAAACCCUCCAUUAAUGAUAAGCUCACUUGAUUCUGAAGUCUCCGGUGUGUCAUUCCUUUGCCUUCCACGCCCACCAAACAGGGGUGUCUCUCAAAAUAAAGUUGAAUGAAAUGAACCCAACAGCUCUAUUAUUAUUAAUAAUACACCUUGGACCCAAAUGAGGGGAAAAAAAGACAGCCCAAAUUCACCAUCAUGCUAGUCACGUCUUCUCUAUCAUUAUGUGCACAGCCACAUACGUCCAUUUCAAUAUUCCUCACCCAUCUCAUUUAAACCUCCGAAAAAGAGCACUGCUUUGUCUUCUUCAACCACCGAUCCCUUUAUUUUAUAACAUUAUCUUAAUCUCUGUUUUUCUGGGGUUCAAAUUCAAUUGGGUUCCCGACUCCAUCAAUGUCCAUCCCCGAACUGCCAUUUUCACCUUCUAAUUUCAUUGCCACUUCCCAUACUCCCACAGUUCAGAAGGUAUCCAAAGCCACUUCAGACAGAUUGCUUCAGAAAUUCUUCGAUGCCACAGAAUUUGGAUUCGAUUACGAGAGAAGCGGCCUCUGGUCUCCCCCUCUUCAACGCAGUGUUUAUCUGAGCGCUUCGGGUGAAGUUUUCAAUCAAGCGGAUUUGCAUAGGAAACUAGAGAGUGUGUUGAGUUCUCGUCGGAAAAGAGAGGAGAAAAGUCGUUCCAAAUUCCGAGUGUUUUGGUGCUCUGUGAGGCAAAUCUGAAAGCUGCCAUCUUUACAGCUAUGCUUCCAUUCUUCCAUUACGGGAUCAAUAAUGGAGCUUCACAGUUGAAGGGUAGAAAACAAAAACAGAGAGGGCCCAAGAAGACAAAAAAAGAUCCACCCAAUACAGUUCCUAUUUUGUUUAUUCUGUACAAGUUCAAUAGUUGAUAUUAACAGAUUGUUGCUAAUCCAUAGUUGAAGCCUCUAACAUGAAUCUCUUUGAGCUGUUAAUCUGAACCCCAACUCUUUCAAGUUCCAG